GACGAACGCUGGCGGCGUGCUUAACACAUGCAAGUCGAACGUAAAGGCCCCUUUCGGGGGGUACUCGAGUGGCGAAAGGGUGAGUAAAACGUGAGUAACCUGCCCUUGACAUUGGGAUAAAUCCUGGAAAAAGGGGCUAAUACCGGAUAGGAGAUCCUGCUGCACGGGGGGGGGUGGAGAGAUUCGGCGGUUUGGGGUGGGCUCGCGGCCUAUCAGCUUGUUUGUGGGGGAGUGGCUUACCCAGGCGUUGACGGGUAGCCGGCCCGGGAGGGUGACCCGCCACCAUGGGGCUUGGGUUCGGCCCAGGCUCCUUCGGGGGGCAGCAGGGGGGAAUUUUUCCCAAUUGGUGGGAGCCUGAUUCAGCAACGCCGGGGGCCGGAUUACGGCCUUCGGGUUGUAAACCGCUUUCGCUCAGGACGGAGCUUUGUGUGACGGUAGUGGGUAAAGAAGCACCGGCUAACUACGUG
rnacentral:rRNA from 1 species